rnacentral:lncRNA from 1 species
AAAAUCAAUAUUUAUACCAAUAAAAACAAUAUUCAAUGAUCUUAUUACAGUGUUGAAUAGGUAACCUUUUAGAAUAAGUUUAUUUAAAGCAGCGACAAGUUUACAUGGAACAUUUCUAAAUUUCCGGGUACGGUUAACAACAUUUCCGUAAAAAUGAGGAUGUGCUAUCCCGUUUGAAAUAAGUUUUCUACAGGUACAACCAAACUUCAUGUUUGUAACCUCAUGUCAUUGAUAAAGUUUAAGAUGAUAAUGUCAAGUUGUAUGUUGAACUGAAAUAAAUAAUAUGCACUAAG